rnacentral:rRNA from 1 species
UACGAAGGGGGCUAGCGUUGUUCGGAUUUACUGGGCGUAAAGCGAGUGUAGGCGGUUCGGUAAGUCGGAUGUGAAAGCCCCGGGCUCAACCCGGGAAGUGCACUCGAUACUGGAAGGCUUGAAUCCGGGAGAGGGAUGCGGAAUUCCAGGUGUAGCGGUGAAAUGCGUAGAUAUCUGGAGGAACACCGGUGGCGAAGGCGGCAUCCUGGACCGGUAUUGACGCUGAGGCGCGAAAGCCAGGGGAGCAAACGGG